UGUAGAACCGGGUAAAAUUCCCUCUUUUUUCCCCCUCUUUCUAAGAGUACAGUUAAUUCCCUCUCUUCAACUCAAAAAUUAGCAGGGCUCGAUUCCCUCUCUUCCCCGGCAACAAAGUUAUUGGGGUUGCACUUUGGUUCAAUUGUUGUGUGGCUUCCAGGGGCGAAGCUACUUUGGUUGAAGGGUGGUCAACUGACCACCUUAGCCGAAAAAUUAUACUACAUAUAAGGAAGAUACAACAAUUGGAAGAAUAUUUGUAGCAUUGAACACCAGUUAAAGUGAAACAAUGAAAUGGUAGCCUUGGGAUCAAUUAGCAUAGUUGGCUCAAUGACAUCUUCCUACGUAUAUGGCUACAGGUAGAUGGAAACUUGAUAUACAAGUCUAAACUCACAACUUACAUAAACCUAUGGUGAUCAUUUUAAUUUAUUGAUUGCAUAUGAAAUUUUCUUAUUCUUAAGAUGGAUUGUUUACUGAAAUAUUCCACAGCAUCCAGAAACCACAAAGGUCCCUGGCACUCUUGUGGUGAUAGUUCGAUCUGCUGCCUAUUUUUCCAACUCCAAUCAUAUGAAAGGCAGGUACUAAUUAUUUAAUUAGCUUAGCAAUAUCGGUUAGAAGGAUACUGAGAUGGUUAACUGAUGAAGAGACAACCAAAAGAAACUAAUCAAACAAAAAUUCCACAAUUAAUGUUGAGAUGUCACGUAUGUUACCUCCUUCAUUUUCAAACCUUUCACUUCUUUCCUUUAGGUUACAUUAAGUAACUACGAGUAUUUGUUUCAUAUUCUUUUGCAGUUGUUACAGAUACAAAUGCUAGUGGAAUUCGUGCCUUAGAAAAUUUGAUUAAGUCCCUCAAAAAAUGAGAUGGAGUAAGCUGCAUAGUAAUGUGAAGACCAAGUCUGCUUCACCUGUGGAUGUAAAGAGUAUCAUCAAGUGACAGCAAUACAAAUCAUCAAGCAAGUACUUUGCACUUUGUAUUUUUGGUUGUUGAGGAACUACUCUAGAUUGUCUAAUAUUUAACUUAUCAUUAAUUUGUUUGUAUGGCUUUAGUUUGAUAUGAAUUCGAAUUCGUAAUGUUUGUUACACUAGAUAUUUCUAAAGGAAUUUGAUUUAUGUUGUA